GAUGUGUAGGAUAGGUGGGAGGCUUUGAAGUGUGGACGCCGAGUCUGCAUGGAGCCGACCUUGGAAAUACCACCCGUUUAAUGCUUUGAUGGUUCUAACGUGGACCCGUGAUCCGGGUUGCGGACAGUGUCUGGUGGGUAGUUUGACUGGGGCGGUCUCCUCCUAAAGAGUAACGGAGGAGCACGAAGGUUGGCUAAUCCUGGUCGGACAUCAGGAGGUUAGUGCAAUGGCAUAAGCCAGCUUGACUGCGAGCGUGACGGCGCGAGCAGGUGCGAAAGCAGGUCAUAGUGAUCCGGUGGUUCUGAAUGGAAGGGCCAUCGCUCAACGGAUAAAAGGUACUCCGGGGAUAACAGGCUGAUACCGCCCAAGAGUUCAUAUCGACGGCGGUGUUUGGCACCUCGAUGUCGGCUCAUCACAUCCUGGGGCUGAAGUAGGUCCCAAGGGUAUGGCUGUUCGCCAUUUAAAGUGGUACGCGAGCUGGGUUUAGAACGUCGUGAGACAGUUCGGUCCCUAUCUGCCGUGGGCGCUGGAGAACUGAGGGGGGCUGCUCCUAGUACGAGAGGACCGGAGUGGACGCAUCACUGGUGUUCGGGUUGUCAUGCCAAUGGCACUGCCCGGUAGCUAAAUGCGGAAGAGAUAAGUGCUGAAAGCAUCUAAGCACGAAACUUGCCCCGAGAUGAGUUCUCCCUGAGACUUUAGGUCUCCUGAAGGAACGUUGAAGACGACGACGUUGAUAGGCCGGGUGUGUAAGCGCAGCGAUGCGUUGAGCUAACCGGUACUAAUGAACCGUGAGGCUUAACCUUACAACGCCGAAG
rnacentral:rRNA from 1 species